GAAUAUUCAAAGCAGAAGUAUCAUGAAGCAGUAUCUCCAGAUUUUAAGAGGUCUCAUACUUAUUAUGAAGAAGAUUAAAGGGGAAAGGAAACAGUUUUUUUGCAGCCUACUCUGUUGUACAGAAAUCUUGCAAUAUGGAGGAAAAUAUUGGCUAAGAAUUAACAUUCUGAAACUAUUUUCUUUUGUCAUCUAUAUCAGGAUGGAACAAUUUAAGUGUUGAAAUUCUGGAAUUUCUUACAUGAUCAAGAUUCUCGGUCUCACUCCAGGUUUUGAGUGUUGUUGCUAAUAUGCCAAAUCUCAAACGUUCAAUAUAAAAAGAAAAUGUGAAUAGCAGUAAGCAUUAUGAUGGAUUAUUUAUUGGGUACACUCAUGAGCUAAUUGAUGAUAAAGGAAUUUGCUAGAUUAAAUUUAAUACUUAAGGAAAUAAAAUUGAACACUCAACAAGCUAAAAAUGAAUAUAAAUACAUACAUACAUCAGACUGAAGUAGUUAUCCAUUAGGCAUAGUACAGAUCAACUGUAGGAAAAGAAACAUGUAUCAACAAGGCUAAGUAACCAAUGUAUGGUAUGCUUUCAGUUCAGACCUUUAAUGUAUUUGAUCACUUUGACAUUGUCAAUUUUUGUAUUUACUAAAUACAUAUAUAUUGUCCUACAAUAUUUUUAGUCUUGUAAUCAAAUUCUGUACUUUAAAGGAUCUGUGAAAGAGUGCUGAAUCAUUUUACUUUGGGUAAAGAUAUUUUUGUGGUGAUAACUUUUCUCACUGUAAGGAAUUUUUAUUGUUCUUUCCAGUUUUCAUACUGAAAGUUGAUUAUACAGUCAGAUACAGAGAGGUUUUCCAUGUUGUCCAAUAGAAAACAAGCAUCCGAAUGGUUUUCAAGAGAUGAUGCAACAUUUUGCUGCCAUUUUGUGCCAUUGAGAACAUUUUUUCUGACUUAUGCAAAUAAACAUUUAAUACUCUCUCAUAGAACUGCUCUUACUUUUCUAAACUUUCCAAGCUAAGAAAACAGCUGCUAGCGGAUGCCAGUGCUGCUUCUGAAUUCUGUACAGUUUGACUUAUGUUACUAGUGAACCUGUUUAAAUAGUGUUCCACGGGCAUUUGAUCAGAUAAAGAGAAGCCAACUGUUGCAACCAUACAACAAUCCAAAAUAUGUGGGAAAAUGAGAAUUUUAUUUUAUUUUUUCCAAAGACUUGACUGAAAUCAACCAAAGUAAUGGAAAGAUUCCCUCUUAUUGCUCUAUUUUGAAGAUUUUGACAAUAGGACAUCAAGUAGGAAUAUAUCAUGAAUACUUCUAAUUUCCUCUGUGAACAAUAUUUUUAACAAGUUAUCUUGAAAUGAUGUGCCUCAUGAAUGCUGAUGUACUUCAAAUAUAACUAUUCCUCUAGCUCCUCUGACUCCUGCUGAAGGUGGUGUGCAGAUAUGUUGUAGCAGAUGGUGCACAGUUCAAGAAAUUACAACCUUUAUUUGAUUUUCUAGAAGCAGGAGGCUAGAAAACCAUUUGUUUGAGGUUUAGUGGAUUCAAUUUAAUAUAAAUAUAGAACUACACCUUUCAAAUCUACAAUUUUCACCAACUAAUCCUAGUUAAAUGCAAAGGACUACUUCCUUUUUCAAGUUUAAUAUUUAGUAACCAAUAAUUUAAUACACAAGAUGCUUUACUAAGCAGAAAUACAACUCUAUACUUUUAUUUGGCAAGAGAUUUAAUGCUAGCAAAUGAGCUUGAGGAGGUUCACCUGGGCCUUUUACUUUCCAAAUAACAGCAAGCAGAUACACAGUUUUGUAAAACACAAGUCUUCAGAUAAAAAAGAAUCACUAUGGAAGAGAAAUUUAACAUAGUUAUACCUAAAACUUUACUGUAAUUGUCAUUAAGACCAAGAAAUGUAGUCUUUAUAGAGGCUAGAAUUAUAACUUUGUAUAGCAUUGGCACAUAUUAUUAGAUGAGGCUAGCUGAAAGAUUACCUCAUACCAGUCUUCUACUAAGUCAUAUGUUAAAAUAUCUUUAGAAAAUGCAAAAUGUAGUGUUUGGAAAGAAUAAUCAGAAAACUAUCUGAACAGGAACUUGGCAAAGAAUGCUAAUAGGGGUGUUGCUAUUUUUCUGUUACUUGGGAAAACCACCUAAACUUAUGGUGUGAGAAAGGUAUAACAUCUAUCAAUAAUGGUUCAGCAGAGGAGAACAUUAACCUGUUGGUAUAGAAUUGCACGGUAAAACAAAUAUUUUAUUGUGAAUCGUUGAUGUGCAAAUAAGGGAGUGAAAGUGGAA